CAGCCGCCGCGGUAAUACCGGCGGCCCGAGUGGCGGUCACUAUUAUUGGGCUUAAAGCGUCCGUAGCCGGGUUGGGAAGUCCUCCGGGAAAUCUGGCCGCUUAACGGUCAGGAUGCCGGAGGAUACUCCCAGCCUAGGGAGCGGGAGAGGCCGAGGGGAUUCCCGGAGUAGGGGGGAAAUCCUAUAAUCCCGGGAGGACCACCUGUGGCGAAGGCGCUCGGCUGGAACGCGUCCGACGGUGAGGGACGAAGGCCAGGGGAGCAAACCGGAUUAGAUACCCGGGUAGUCCUGGCUGUAAACGAUGCGGACUUUGUGUCGGACAAGCUAUGAGCUUGUCCGGUGCCGGAGGGAAACCGUUAAGUCCGCCGCCUGGGGAGUACGGCCGCAAGGCUGAAACUUAAAGGAAUUGGCGGG
rnacentral:rRNA from 1 species